rnacentral:misc_RNA from 1 species
UACGGAGGGUGCAAGCGUUAAUCGGAAUUACUGGGCGUAAAGGGUACGUAGGCGGCCAUUUAAGUCGGAUGUGAAAGCCCUGGGCUCAACCUGGGAAUUGCAUUCGAUACUGGGUGGCUAGAGUCUGGCAGAGGCUGGCGGAAUUCCCGGUGUAGCGGUGAAAUGCGUAGAUAUCGGGAGGAACAUCAGUGGCGAAGGCGGCCGGCUGGGCCAAGUGUGACGCUGAGGGACGAAAGCGUGGGUAGCAAACAGG